CCCUUAGAUGUUCUGGGCUGCACGCGUGUUACAAUCGGGAGUACAACAAGAUUGCAAAUCCUAGUGGAUGAGUGGUUCUUCAAAAUUUUCUGAAGACUGGGAUAGUUGAUUGAAAUUAUUCAACUCAAACGAGGAAUUCCUUGUAAUUGUAAUUCAUUAUAUUGUAAUGAAUACGUCCCUGCCCUUUGUACACACCGCCCGUCGCUCCUACCGAUUGAACGAUCCGGUGAAUUAUUUGGAGUAGCUCUGGAAGUUGCAGAACUUCCUAUGUCACGAAAUUUUGUAAACCUUAUCGUUUAGAGGAAGGAAAAGUCGUAACA
rnacentral:rRNA from 1 species